UCUCUGCGGAUUCCCCACCCCUCUUUCUCUCGUGUUCUUCUCCCCGCCUUGUUUCUCUCAUUAACCCCGCCGCCCACCUCCAACGGAUCCCAAUCAGCCCUCACGGCACCACCUUUGCCCCCCGGCGGCCCCUCCUCCAGCACCUCCACUGCCGCUGCAACCUUCCCCCGCCCCAGGUCGUGGUGGAGGAAGCGGGAGCGGUGACGAGGUCGCCGUCGUGGGCGUAUGCAGUGGCGAGGACGGAGGCCAGAGGAGAUGGUGGCCGAAGGAAGAGACGAUGAGUAGGACGUGGAGGCGGGUGAGUGUCCAGGGCGUGUCGCGGGAGGAGAGCAGGCGGCGGAGGCAGGGUGAAUCAUUGAGGAAGGCUGCGGAUCCAGGCAUUUGGUUGCUGGAUCUUCAAUUCGACGGAACAGCUGCCAGCCAUAUCCGGUAUUGAGAUUGUGUAUGCGCCUUGACGGAUCGAGAAGUUAGCCCAGUCGAUUGAUGGUGACUGGAGCGGCUCAUUCGAUGCAUUCAUGCAUGUACUUUGACUGGCUCAAGUGUUCUCCAUACAUGCUAGUUAGUCUCCUGGAUGCUGGCCGGGAGUAGUUCCAAUCUUCCAGAAUGCCGCCGUCGACGACGCUGGAGCUCCAAGCAAUACAAUGUUUAUUUUAGAUCCAUUUGCCAUAGGUAUUCUAAGGUAUUCUAGUGAAGUGUUCCAUGCGCCUGGGUGUGGAUGGGAUGGCCUUCGUCUUGUAAAAUGUACAUACUUGGAGCCGGAGCCAUUUCUUAUUCAUGUCAAGACUAGAUUAAGAGCCUAUUUGUUUGGGCUGUGGCUGUGACAGAAGCGGCUGUGAUCAAGGUUGACCGUUUGGCAACAUA